rnacentral:rRNA from 1 species
AGGAGCUUGCUCCUUUGACGUUAGCGGCGGACGGGUGAGUAACACGUGGAUAACCUACCUAUAAGACUGGGAUAACUUCGGGAAACCGGAGCUAAUACCGGAUAACAUAUUGAACCGCAUGGUUCAAUAGUGAAAGGCGGCUUUGCUGUCACUUAUAGAUGGAUCCGCGCCGUAUUAGCUAGUUGGUAAGGUAACGGCUUACCAAGGCAACGAUACGUAGCCGACCUGAGAGGGUGAUCGGCCACACUGGAACUGAGACACGGUCCAGACUCCUACGGGAGGCAGCAGUAGGGAAUCUUCCGCAAUGGGCGAAAGCCUGACGGAGCAACGCCGCGUGAGUGAUGAAGGUCUUCGGAUCGUAAAACUCUGUUAUCAGGGAAGAACAAAUGUGUAAGUAACUGUGCACAUCUUGACGGUACCUGAUCAGAAAGCCACGGCUAACUACGUGCCAGCAGCCGCGGUAAUACGUAGGUGGCAAGCGUUAUCCGGAAUUAUUGGGCGUAAAGCGCGCGUAGGCGGUUUUUUAAGUCUGAUGUGAAAGCCCACGGCUCAACCGUGGAGGGUCAUUGGAAACUGGAAAACUUGAGUGCAGAAGAGGAAAGUGGAAUUCCAUGUGUAGCGGUGAAAUGCGCAGAGAUAUGGAGGAACACCAGUGGCGAAGGCGACUUUCUGGUCUGUAACUGACGCUGAUGUGCGAAAGCGUGGGGAUCAAACAG